rnacentral:rRNA from 1 species
AGAUGAAUUGGUGCCUUCGGGAACUGUGAGACAGGUGCUGCAUGGCUGUCGUCAGCUCGUGUUGUGGAAUGUUGGGUUAAGUCCCGUAACAAGCGCAACCCUUGUCCUUAGUUGCCAUCAUUUAGUUGGGGACUCUAAGGAGACUGCCGGUGACAAACCGGAGGAAGGCGGGGACGACGUCAAGUCAUCAUGGCCCUUACGAGUAGGGCUACACACGUGCUACAAUGGCCGGUACAAACGGUUGCGAAGCCGCGAGGUGGAGCUAAUCUGAGAAAGCCGGUCGUAGUCCGGAUCGGAGUCUGCAACUCGACUCCGUGAAGUCGGAAUCGCUAGUAAUCGUGAAUCAGAAUGUCACGGUGAAUACGUUCCCGGGCCUU